UGUAGCUUUCCCUGCGGAUGGCAGCCUUUCCCCAAGAUUGAUUCUGAUGCCCUGGGGGACCGAGGUGACGUCAGCUCGCCACUGUAGUCCUGGACUGCUACUCCUGCCUCCAGGGCCCAGCAGCAGAGCCAGGGACUGGCCGCCUGUCUCAGGGGCAGUUUGAACCACAGCUUCAAAAUCUUUCCUGGGGCUGGCGUUGUGGGACAGAGGGUUAAGCUGCGACUGUGGCACCGGCAUCCCAUAAGAGUGCCAACAGGAGUUCUGGCUACUCCACUUUUGAUUCAGCUCCCUGCUAAUGUCAGGGACGCCAGGGAGCCCUGGAAAGGAAGCAAAACGUGACAGACUCUCCAGGAGCCCUGGGGUGAGGGAGAAGGGAGAAACGCCUAUAGUGGCAUUUUCAGGUGUUGUCGCUUGUGCAGCAAGGACCUGUGAACUUCUGUGCAAAUUACACGUCUGUUCCCUGAUUGGCUCAGGUAGAAUCCUCAUUAGCAUGCACCUCCGUGGAUCAGAGAGUACUUGCCGCUUUAGAAGCCCAGAAAAGACCAAGGCAGCAGGCUUGAGAGGCAAUCUGGAGUAAGCAGCGCCCUGGAGCAGGCAGCCUGGGCUGGGCAGGCCCUCCUGGCUGCCGCAGAACCUUCUCUGCUUCCUUCAACAAACGUCCUUCGCUUUGCUUCCUCCUCCCGUCCUCUGUGUCUCCUUCUCCACGGUCACAAGACAGAGAAGCCGACAGAGAAAAGCAGCAGCAACCUGGAAGACUGCACACCGGGAGCCGUGACCCAGCCGCAACACAGCACCGCAGCACGGGAGCCGCUGUCCCGGAAAGAGGAGCCUGCCGCAGCUCUGGGUCGCUGAGCCGAGGCCUGGCAUCGCGGACUCCUCCUCCACCACUCCUGCAACACUGAUGCCCGAGGGCUUGGGCCCCUGCCACUGCAUGGGAAACCCGGAUGGAGUGCCUGGUUUUGGCACAGACAUUUGGGGAGUGAACCCGCAGAUGGGAGAUCUUGUAACUCUACCUUUCAAAUAAACAGAUCUUCGUAAAAAUGAAAUCUUUCUCAACAUCCAAGGUGAAGAACCCAUUCAUGUUUUCUUCUGCUCCUUGUAGGGUGUGUAGGGCUGGAUGUGUCCUGGCCCCCAACUUCCUGCUUUGAAAUUAAUCCCACUGUGCUGGGAUUUGGAGGCGGGGCCUUGUGAGUGGAGUCCAAGCUCUCCCAAGAGAAGGCUAGAGCGAUCCCUGGCUCUGUCCUGUGUGAGGAUGGGUGAGAAGUCGGCCUCUGCAGCCUGGAAGGGAGCCCUCACCAGAACCCACGCCUGACCUGGGACUCCUGGCUGCCAGAACUGGGGGAAGUAGUGAAGGUUGUUCAUAAGGCAUCCCACUCCUGGCUUCGUGUUCUGGUAGCCGGAGCUAAGAUUCGUGCCUUUGUGUUUUAUACUUGGAUCUCUAAUCCAUACAGAGUUUGUUCUUUGGGCUGCAACAUGUGGGUCCAAUUUUAUCUUUUCCCACAUGGCUACCCAGUUGUUCCAGCACCAUUUAUUACAAAGUCCUUCUUCAGUGGGUAACAAAGGCGGCGUCCCAAUUCUCUGGGGUAGGAAUGCACUUGAGCCGGUUUCAGAAUCUUCUAGUCUGUUCAGUUAGUCUCUUCAUGCGCCAGAACCUCCCCAUUUUGAAUCACAUCUUGUAUUUUUUGAAUGAUAAAACAGCUCGCUCUCGCGAUUUUUCUUUUCCAGUGUUUUCUUGCCUAGUUAUUUUUCCAUGUGAACUCUACCAACAGCUUAGAUAUCUUUGUAAAACAGCUUGCUGGUAUUUUUAUUGGGACUGCCUAGAAUGUAAAGGGUAA